GACGAACGCUGGCGGCGUGCUUAACACAUGCAAGUCGAGCGGAAAGGCCCUUCGGGGUACUCGAGCGGCGAACGGGUGCGUAACACGUGAGUAACCUGCCCCAGACUUUGGGAUAACCCUCGGAAACGGGGGCUAAUACCGGAUACGACACAGCUUCGCAUGGGGUCUGUGUGGAAAGUUUUUCGGUUUGGGAUGGGCUCGCGGCCUAUCAGCUUGUUGGUGGGGUGAUGGCCUACCAAGGCGACGACGGGUAGCCGGCCUGAGAGGGCGACCGGCCACACUGGGACUGAGACACGGCCCAGACUCCUACGGGAGGCAGCAGUGGGGAAUAUUGCACAAUGGGCGGAAGCCUGAUGCAGCGACGCCGCGUGAGGGAUGACGGCCUUCGGGUUGUAAACCUCUUUCAGCAGGGACGAAGCGUAAGUGACGGUACCUGCAGAAGAAGCGCCGGCCAACUACGUG
rnacentral:rRNA from 1 species